rnacentral:rRNA from 1 species
ACUGUCGGGAGUUAAGAACUGUAAGGAUGCUAAUAGUAUUCUUACUUGACUAAGGCUCCGGAGGAAGCCACGGCUAACUCUGUGCCAGCAGCCGCGGUAAUACAGAGGCGGCAAGCGUUGUUCGGAAUUAUUGGGCGUAAAGAGCAUGUAGGCGGCUAUGUAAGUCGGUUGUGAAAGCCUUCCGCUUAACGGAAGAAUGGCGGCCGAAACUGCAUGGCUUGAGUGCGGUAGGGGAGAGUGGAACUUCUGGUGGAGCGGUGAAAUGCGUAGAUAUCAGAAGGAACGCCGGCGGCGAAAGCGACUCUCUGGACCGUAACUGACGCUGAGUGUGCGAAAGCUAGGGGAGCAAACGGGAUUAGAUACCCCGGUAGUCCUAGCCGUAAACGAUGGGCACUAAGUAGAGGGA